rnacentral:rRNA from 1 species
GCAGUCGACGCUAGUCGCGGACCUGAUCACUUCGGUGAGACGUAAAGCAUAUGGCUAGAGUGGCGAACGGGUGAGUAACACGUGGACAACCUGCCUCUAAGCAGGGGAUAACAUUUGGAAACAGAUGCUAAUACCGUAUAACAACGCAUUUCGCAUGAAGUGUGUUUAAAAGGGGCUUCGGCCUCACUUAGAGAUGGAUCCGCGGUGCAUUAGUUAGUUGGUGAGGUAAAGGCUUACCAAGACGAUGAUGCAUAGCCGAGUUGAGAGACUGAUCGGCCACAUUGGGACUGAGACACGGCCCAAACUCCUACGGGAGGCUGCAGUAGGGAAUCUUCCACAAUGGGCGCAAGCCUGAUGGAGCAACGCCGCGUGUGUGAUGAAGGCUUUCGGGUCGUAAAGCACUGUUGUAUGGGAAGAAUAGUUAAUGUAGGAAAUGAUGUUAAUGUGACGGUACCAUACCAGAAAGGGACGGCUAAAUACGUGCCAGCAGCCGCGGUAAUACGUAUGUCCCGAGCGUUAUCCGGAUUUAUUGGGCGUAAAGCGAGCGCAGACGGUUCGUUAAGUCUGAAGUGAAAGCCCACAGCUCAACUGUGGAAUGGCUUUGGAAACUGGCGAACUUGAGUGCAGUAGAGGCAAGUGGAACUCCAUGUGUAGCGGUGGAAUGCGUAGAUAUAUGGAAGAACACCAGUGGCGAAAGGCGGCUUGCUGGACUGUAACUGACGUUGA